rnacentral:rRNA from 1 species
GAUGAACGCUGGCGGCGUGCCUAAUACAUGCAAGUCGAGCGAACAGAUGAGGAGCUUGCUCCCCUGACGUUAGCGGCGGACGGGUGAGUAACACGUGGAUAACCUACCUAUAAGACUGGGAUAACUUCGGGAAACCGGAGCUAAUACCGGAUAACAUAUUGAACCGCAUGGUUCUAUAGUGAAAGAUGGUUUUGCUGUCACUUAUAGAUGGAUCCGCGCCGUAUUAGCUAGUUGGUAAGGUAACGGCUUACCAAGGCAACGAUGCGUAGCCGACCUGAGAGGGUGAUCGGCCACACUGGAACUGAGACACGGUCCAGACUCCUACGGGAGGCAGCAGUAGGGAAUCUUCCGCAAUGGGCGAAAGCCUGACGGAGCAACGCCGCGUGAGUGAUGAAGGUCUUCGGAUCGUAAAACUCUGUUAUUAGGGAAGAACAAAUGUGUAAGUAACUAUGCACGUCUUGACGGUACCUAAUCAGAAAGCCACGGCUAACUACGUG